AAGUGGAGCAAUCCAUGAGUAAAGUGGCGACCGGGUGAGUAACACGUGACUACCUACCCUCGAGUGGGGAAUAACUCCGGGAAACCGGGGCUAAUACCGCAUAACAUCGAGAGAUCAAAGCAGAAAUGCGCUUGAGGAGGGGGUCGCGGCUGAUUAGCUAGUUGGUAGGGUAAUGGCCUACCAAGGCGAAGAUCGGUAUCCGGCCUGAGAGGGCGCACGGACACACUGGAACUGAAACACGGUCCAGACUCCUACGGGAGGCAGCAGUGGGGAAUUUUGCGCAAUGGGGGAAACCCUGACGCAGCAACGCCGCGUGGAGGAUGAAGCCCCUUGGG
rnacentral:rRNA from 1 species